rnacentral:rRNA from 1 species
UACGAAGGGGGCUAGCGUUGCUCGGAAUUACUGGGCGUAAAGGGCGCGUAGGCGGGUCGUUAAGUUGGGGGGUGAAAGCCCAGGGCUCAACCCUGGAAUUGCCUUCAAUACUGGCGACCUUGAGUAUGGCAGAGGUGUGUGGAACUCCGAGUGUAGAGGUGAAAUUCGUAGAUAUCGGAAGAACACCAGUGGCGAAGGCGACACACUGGGCCAUUACUGACGCUGAGGCGCGAAAGCGUGGGGAGCAAACAGGAUAGAUACCCCUGA